CUCGUAGGCGGUCCAUCGCGUCGGGAGUGAAAAGCUGGGGCUUAACCCCAGUCCUGCUUCCGAUACGGGUGGACUAGAGGUAGGUAGGGGAGAUCGGAAUUCCUGGUGUAGCGGUGAAAUGCGCAGAUAUCAGGAGGAACACCGGUGGCGAAGGCGGAUCUCUGGGCCUUACCUGACGCUGAGGAGCGAAAGCAUGGGGAGGCAAACA
rnacentral:rRNA from 1 species